rnacentral:rRNA from 1 species
UACAGAGGGUGCAAGCGUUGUUCGGAAUUAUUGGGCGUAAAGAGCUCGUAGGCGGCUUGUCACGUCGGGUGUGAAAGCCCGGGGCUUAACCCCGGGUCUGCAUUCGAUACGGGCUGGCUAGAGUGUGGUAGGGGAGAUCGGAAUUCCUGGUGUAGCGGUGAAAUGCGCAGAUAUCAGGAGGAACACCGGUGGCGAAGGCGGAUCUCUGGGCCAUUACUGACGCUGAGGAGCGAAAGCGUGGGGAGCGAACAGG